rnacentral:rRNA from 1 species
CAUGGUUGUCGUCAGCUCGUGUCGUGAGAUGUUGGUUAAGUCCCGCAACGAGCGCAACCCCUAUUGCUAGUUACCAUCAUUAAGUUGGGGACUCUAGCGAGACUGCCAGUGAUAAACUGGAGGAAGGUGGGGAUGACGUCAAAUCAUCAUGCCCCUUAUGACCUGGGCUACAAACGUGAUACAAUGGCUGGAACAAAGGGAUGCGAAGCAGUGAUGUGGAGCGAAACCCAUAAAAACAGUCUCAGUUCGGAUUGAAGUCUGCAACUCGACUUCAUGAAGUCGGAAUCGCUAGUAAUCGCGGAUCAGAACGCCGCGGUGAAUACGUUCUCGGGGUUU